AUAACUUCAGGAAGAGAAUGAGCAGCCAGACCAGAUGGACUCCUUUGAAAUGAAGAUCCUGUCUUCAUGCAAAUGCUGUGAAUGAUAAAAGGACAAGAGGGAAAAGUGGCAGAAAUUACACAAGCAGGAUUGUAUCUAAAUACAGAGCACAAUUACUCCUAGUCCCAUUCCAUGCCUGGAGCAUGGUUAAUAGGAGAGACCCUACAAUUGCUGUUGUUUUCUUCUAGAAGAUUGAAAAAAGGUUUUAAAAGUUACUUAUCCAAUCAGCCUGUUAAGACUUCCCAGGGUGUCUUUUCAAGAUGAGAUUCCACAGAGAUAUCUAAGCAUGACACCUUUAUCCUGUCACACUCAAUGACUUUGAGUCUGACUUCUCAACGGGCAUUGGUUUCUUCAGUGGAUCAAGAAUAGCAUUUGGUUUCUUCUAAUGCUUUGGUAUUUUCCCCAGAUUAUUC
rnacentral:lncRNA from 1 species